CUGAUCUAGCCAUGCCGCGUGAGUGAUGAAGGCCCUAGGGUUGUAAAGCUCUUUCAGCUGGGAAGAUAAUGACGGUACCAGCAGAAUAAUCCCCGGCUAAUUCCGUGCCAGCACCCCCGGUAAUA
rnacentral:rRNA from 1 species